CGUGUCGUGAGAUGUUGGGUUAAGUCCCGCAACGAGCGCAACCCUCGCCCUUAGUUGCCAGCAUUUAGUUGGGCACUCUAAGGGGACUGCCGGUGAUAAGCCGAGAGGAAGGUGGGGAUGACGUCAAGUCCUCAUGGCCCUUACGGGCUGGGCUACACACGUGCUACAAUGGUGGUGACAGUGGGCAGCGAGCACGCGAGUGUGAGCUAAUCUCCAAAAGCCAUCUCAGUUCGGAUUGCACUCUGCAACUCGAGUGCAUGAAGUUGGAAUCGCUAGUAAUCGCGGAUCAGCAUGCCGCGGUGAAUACGUUCCCGGGCCUU
rnacentral:rRNA from 1 species